AACGAACGCUGGCGGCAGGCUUAACACAUGCAAGUCGAACGCCCCGCAAGGGGAGUGGCAGACGGGUGAGUAACGCGUGGGAAUCUACCGUACCCUACGGAAUAACGCAUGGAAACGUGUGCUAAUACCGUAUACGCCCUACCGGGGAAAGAUUUAUCGGGGUAGUGGAUGAGCCCGCCGUUGGAUUAGCUAGUUGGUGG
rnacentral:rRNA from 1 species